GCGCUGUGUCCCGGUAGCUCAGCGCGGACUUCCUUUAUGUGGUACAGGGUUGGGCCUGGAGACGCGGAGGCCGGCGAGGUCCUGGCUGGGAGAGGCCGCCGCUGCCUUCAGGUUUCCGAGGAAUAAAAGCCUCAUCCUGCUGGGAAGGGCAGAAAAGAGGAAGCUGAAGACAUCAGUGGGAAGACAUAGUAUAGUGGCUGCUGGAAGAAGAUCUGGGAAAAAACAAGGAGACCCUCUACCCAGGAAUGGGAGGAAGAUGCAUGGAUCAGCAUCACACCUGCAGGAGGGCAGGGAUACUUGGAAGGACACAACCUGAGCCAGGACUGUGAUGUCUGCCUGCAGUAUGGCUCCCUCAGAAGGACAGAGAGUGCCCGUUCAGUGCGACCCUUCCCACCACAUUGACAAUUGUCCGGUCCAUGUGGCUUUAGAAUGACCUGGGGGAUUUGAAAGACAGAGUCUCUCUGGAUAGCACAAGACUAAAGCCCAAAGCCAAGCAGGAAACAAAAUUAAGGUGUUACUGGAGGAAUCUGGGUGUCUGGUGGCUACAGAGGAAAUGUACUUCAAUUCUGGCAGCCACUGCAAUAAGGACUUUCAAAUGUAGUCCUGAGUAGUUUCACACAAUUUUCUACAAUAAAGGCCUAGAAAAGAUAUGGUGUUAUCAUCUACAAAAAAUGCAAAAAAUCAUAAAACAAAUAAUUAGCUGAUAUAAUAAAUCUGAUAGAAGUAUCUGCAGAACAUAAAUAUCAAAAUAACUUGCAUAAAUACAUUAAAACAUUUACACUUGAUCCCAUUGUUAGUCUAUGCCUAACUUCAUAAGAAAUUGCCAAUAUGUGGUAUACCCAAUACUAUUAUAACUAAUACUAUAUUGAUUUUAUGCUUGUAACAAAGAGCACAGAGUAGGUUCUGUAAGAACUAUUAAUGAAAAAGUCAACUUUGCAAAAUAUUUAGAUUUAUUCGAGCCAAAUGUGAGGACCAUGCCCUGUGACACAGCCCCAGAAGAUCUUGAGAACGUGUGCCCAAAGUGGCUUGAUUGCAGCUUAAAUUUAAUGUCUUAGAGAGAAAGACAUCAGUCAAUACAUAUGAGACAUGUGUCGAUUUGUUUCAUAAAGAUAAAAGAGCUACAAGUGAGGCAGUGUGGGGAGGGGAUUACAGCUUACAGGUGAAUUCAAAGAUUUUCUGAUUGAAAGACUUAACUUUUUAUUUAAAGAGCUGAAAUCAGUAGAAAAACGUUUCUGUGUUUGAAGGGGGCCAGCCCCUCCACAACUGUGGGUAUUUCUCGUCAGGUGGGAUGAGAGACUGAGAAAAGAAAUAAGACACAGAGACAAAGUAUAGAGAAAGAACAGUAGGCACAGGGGACCGGUGCUCAGCAUACGGAGGACCCACACCGGCACCGGUCUCUGAGUUCCCUCAGUAUUUAUUGAUUAUUAUUUUCACUAUCUCAGCAAGGGGAAUGUGGCAGAACAGGGUGAUAGUGGGGAGAAGGGCAGCAAGAAAACGUGUGAGCAAAGGAAUCUGUGUCACAAAUAAGUUCAAGGGAAGGUACUAUCGCUGGAUGUGCACAUAGGCCAGAUUUAUGCUUCUCUCCACCCUAACAUCUCAGUGUAGUAAAGAGUAACAGAGGAGCAUUGCUGCCAACAUGUCUCACCUCCAGCCACAGGGUGGUUUUCUCCUAUCUCAGAAUAGAACAAAUGUACAAUUGGGUUUUAUACCGAGACAUUCCAUUCCCAGGGACAUGCAGGAGACAGAGGCCUUCCUCUUUUACUAAUCCUCCUCAGCAUAGACCCUUCACGGUUGUCAGGCUGGGGGACGGUCAGGUCUUUUCCAUCCCACGAGGCCAUAUCUUAGGCUGUCUCAGUGGGGAGAAAUGUUGGACAAUACCCGGCUUCCCUGGGCAGAGGUCCCUGUGGCUUUCUGCACUGCAUUGUUACCCUUGGUUAAUCAAGAAUGGAGAAUGGUGAUGACUUUUACCAAGCAUACUGCCUGUAAACAUAUUGUUAACAAGGCACAUCCUGCACAGCCCUAGAUCCCUUAAACUUUGAUUCCAUACAACAUAUGUUUCUGUGAGCACAAGGUUGGGGCAAAAGUUACAGAUUAACAGCAUCUCAAGGCAAAACAAUUCUUCAGGGUACAGAUCAAAAUGGAGUUUCUUACGUCUUCCUUUUCUACAUAGAGUAACAGUCUGAUCUCUCUUUUCCCUACAUAGGUUAGGAUAACGGGUUUUGGAGAACAAGAUUCUUAUUAUGUAGAUGAAUUCUCUUAUGUGGCCACCGUUAGAGGCAGUAGAUAGCAAAUGUUUUCUACUAUGACAUUUAAAAGAUGCUAGACUCUCAGCUAAUCUAACAACUAGACCUGGAAAGGGAAGGAGAUUCGCUACAGAACGUAAAUUUCUCUCUCAAAAGAUAACUGUGCAGGGUGAUUUUAAAAUAUGUCAAAUAAAUAUAUUUUAGGGUAAAAGUCUUUGAUUCUUUUCAAGGUCUGCUCUCUGUCAUGUGAUCCUAUUCUUGAGUCAGGUUAGAAUUUGGUAUCUUACUGCUGCAAAGAAUCUGUUUUCUGAGUCUUAAGAUCUGUUUUAAUGAAAAAUACUGGUUAGUUGUGCUUGAAUUCCAAAGGGAGGAGGGUAUAAUGAGGCAUUUCUGAACCUCUAUUUCUCACAUGAACUGCACUACGUUUUCAAGAGUCUCUGGAACUCCUUUUUGACAAGAAAGGGUACAUUCAGGGAAUGUGCAAUUAGCUGGAUUCCCCUGCAUUGCUGUUUUUUAAUACCUAAUUUAUAUAGAUACAUGAGUUCAAAAUCUUUAUGGGGUAUAUAUUUUGAUAAAAGAUUAUUAUAUGCAGUGAUUAAAUCUGGAUAACUGGUAUAUCUUUCAUCUCCAUCAUUGAUUAUUUCUUUGUGUUAACAAUUCUAAAUCUUCUCUUCUAGCUGUUUUGUAAUAUACACUAAAUUAUUAACUGUACAUGUCUAUGUGCCAUUUCAGCAUUACCACCAGCAAAGAGUGAAUGUUCCUGUUUUUCAACUUCCUC
rnacentral:lncRNA from 1 species